rnacentral:sRNA from 1 species
AACAAGUAUCGUUUACCGCCGUAAAGACGGUAAAUAUGGCUUGAUUCAAACUAGUGAACAAUAAAUUAAGUUUAAAGCACUUGUGUUUUUGCACAAGUGCUUUUUUAUACUCCA